rfam:Myotis lucifugus cont2.6156, whole genome shotgun sequence.
GGCCAGGUAGCUCAGUUGGUUAGAGCAUUGUCCUGACAUGCCAAGGUUGUGGCUUCCAUCCCCGGUCA